UGCCUUCCUCCUUGUCAGUCAGAGGGGCGGUUUCCACAAUUGGUGAGCGGCUGUCCCCCUGACUUUAUUUUGCUGGGCGUCUACGUGUCAGCUUGAUGUUUGACUGCGAGAGUAUCUCGAAGUUUUAGGUGGAAGAUGUCGGAGACUAACAGAGCCGCACGUAGCGACGGAGACGAGGAGCAGGUUUCUGGUGCUGAAGUCAUCGCCCAGGCCCUGAAAACGCAAGAUGUGGAGUACAUGUUUGGCAUCGUAGGCAUCCCAGUGACCGAAAUCGCCGUUGCGGCCCAGAGGAUGGGCGUCAGAUAUGUCGGGAUGAGGAAUGAGCAAGCGGCUUGUUAUGCUGCCUCUGCGAUUGGAUAUCUGACAGGCAGGCCUGGCGUAUGCCUUGUUGUUUCUGGCCCAGGUCUCAUCCAUGCUUUGGGUGGUAUGGCAAAUGCAAACAUGAACUGUUGGCCCUUGAUUGUGAUUGGUGGUUCUUCUGAAAGAAGUCAGGAAACUAUGGGAGCCUUCCAGGAGUUUCCUCAGGUUGAAGCUUGUAGAUUAUAUAGCAAGUUCUCUGCCCGGCCAAGCAGCAUAGAGACUAUUCCCGCUAUUAUCGAGAAGGCAGUGAGAAGCAGCAUUUAUGGUCGCCCAGGUGCUUGUUAUGUUGACAUACCUGCAGAUUUUGUGAACUUGCAGGUGAAUGUGAAUUCUGUAAGGUACAUGGAGUGUUGCAUGCCACCUCCUGUUAGUAUGGCAGAGACCUCCGCUAUAUGUAUGGCAGCAACUGUUAUUAGAAAUGCCAAGAAGCCCCUUCUUAUCAUCGGGAAAGGUGCUGCUUAUGCCCAUGCAGAGGAGGGUAUCAGGAAAUUGGUGGAGCGGUGUAAGUUGCCGUUUUUGCCCACCCCCAUGGGAAAGGGUGUUAUCCCUGAUAACCAUCCGAACUGUGUGGCUGCUGCCAGAUCCAGGGCUUUGCAAUUUGCUGAUGUAAUUGUGUUAUUUGGUGCCCGAUUAAAUUGGAUUUUGCAUUUUGGACUGCCUCCAAGAUACCAGCCAGAUGUGAAGUUUAUCCAGGUUGAUAUCUGUGCAGAAGAAUUGGGGAAUAAUGUAAAGCCUGCUGUGACUUUGCUAGGAGACAUAAAUGCUGUCACUAAACAGCUUUUAGAACAAUUUGAUAAAACACCAUGGCAGUAUCCUCCAGAGAGCAGCUGGUGGAAAACUCUGAGAGAAAAAAUGAAGAGCAAUGAAGCCGCAUCCAAGGAAUUAGCUUCCCAAAAAUCUCUGCCUAUGAAUUAUUACACAGUAUUCUAUCAUGUUCAAGAACAGCUACCCAGAGACUGUUUUGUAGUAAGUGAAGGAGCAAAUACUAUGGAUAUUGGACGCACUGUGCUUCAAAACUACCUUCCUCGUCACAGGCUUGAUGCUGGUACUUUUGGAACCAUGGGAGUUGGUUUGGGCUUUGCCAUUGCAGCCGCUAUACUGGCUAAAGCUAGAAACACAGGUCAGCGGGUCAUCUGUGUGGAAGGAGACAGUGCAUUUGGGUUUUCUGGCAUGGAAGUGGAAACCAUCUGUAGGUACAACUUGCCCAUCAUUCUUUUGGUGGUGAAUAAUAAUGGAAUUUACCAAGGUUUUGAUGUGGAUAGUUGGAAGGAAAUGUUAAAAUUUGGAGAUGCUACUGCAGUGGCCCCUCCCGUCUGUCUUUUGCCAAACUCACAUUACGAGCAGGUUAUGACUGCGUUUGGAGGCAAAGGGUAUUUCGUACAAACACCGGAAGAGCUCCAAAAAUCACUGAGGGAGAGUUUGGCAGACACAACUGCACCUUCUCUUAUCAAUAUCAUGAUUGAGCCACAAGCCACGCGGAAAGCCCAGGAUUUUCACUGGCUGACACACUCUAAGAUAUAAAGAUGUCCGGGAAUGGUCGUGAGGAGUUUUCUUUCCUGAGCAGCAAAAGAUGACAAGAGAAUCUCCCUACAAGGAGUCACUGAGGCUGCAGGGUUUGAAUGUCUUCCCCAAAGGAUGUGAAAUCGGAAAAGAAUCCCUACCCUUAAGUUGGCACUGGUGUUCCUGGACGCCUGCAGUAAAAGAGAGUACCGAAGCAGGCUCUGAGGUGUCAGCAGAGAGCCCAAUGUGGGGCUCGAACUCACAAACCGUGAGACCAUGACCUGAACCAAACUCGGAUGCUUCACCAACUGAACCACUGAGGCGCCCCAUUGAAGGGACAAUUUUCAAAGAGAAAAGAUUUGAAAGAGAACAAAUGGAACUGUGAUUUUGACAUGAGGAUUUCUGGAAUUUUCCAUUUUGAUGAUCUCACAAAAUGCUUGGCUUAAGAUUUAGGGGAAAAAAUCAGUGUUACCUAAAGAACAGUGACAGAGUAUGAGGAACAGCAGUGAUGAAGUGAUAAAGAAAUAGAUCGUAAAGCUUCUAUUUAAUUCGACAUCCAUUGAAUCCCUACCAUGUGACAUUCAUUUUGCCCACCCUGUAUGUGGCAAGAUAUGAGCUUCUAGGUUGCUUAUCUGAGAAGUCAUGAGAUGAAACUUCUACCCUGGAACACCUACUGGGGUCUCCACACCAACUUUGGGCUGAGAUUUGACUCAAUGAGAUUGAUAAUAAAGAGGAUGCAGGUGAGAUGGUGUUUUUCAAGUUGCAAGAGAGUAUGAGGGGAGGCCGUUUUAGGCACAGAGGAAGAAUCCGGGCUCUGAGGGACAGCCACGGAAGGGGUAAAUCUAGCUCCUCAGCAAUGAUAACACAUGGCAACAUGCUUGGCCAUGUGCAAUUGAGGCUGCUCCUCAAAUUUCUGACAAUAUGGAACUAAACAGAACAGGAGAUUGCUUUCAUAAGAGCCAGCAGACAUGGGAGAAAAAGGGCUCACCAGAGACUUUGUCUUUGGGGUCUUUGAAAAUUGCUUCCCACUAGCUCUUUUAAUAUAUCUUGAUCCUUCCUGUAAACAGUGCAUAGUAAACACUUUACAUUCAUUAUUUUUAAAAAGCCAAUUAUAUUCAUAAAACAAUAAGUAAA